GACGAACGCUGGCGGCGUGCCUAACACAUGCAAGUCGAACGCAGUUGCGAACGGGUGAGUAAUGCGUAGGUAACUGCCUCAUAGCGGGGGAUAACUAUUGGAAACGAUAGCUAAUACCGCAUACUGUGGGAUGGACGUGCGUUGUAUUAGCUAGUUGGUGAGGUAAAGGCGCACAAAGGCGACGAUACAUGGCCGAACUGGGAGGGUGAGCGGCCACACUGGGAAUGGGACACGGCCCAGAGGGCUACGGGAGGCAGCAGUUGGGAAUCUUCGGGAAAGGAGGGAAGACUGACCGAGCAAAGGCGCGUGGGUGAAGAAGGUAUUCGGAUCGGCAAGCUGUGUUGUUUGAGAAGCGGUAACUAAAGAGAAAGGGACGGCUAACUACGUGCCAGCAGCCGCGGUAAUAC
rnacentral:rRNA from 1 species